AGCUAGCGUUAGCUCGGCAGCUAAGCUAAAGCUGCUACUCGGAUACCGUGGGGAUGGCGCUCUGUGGGCUUGAAGGGAAAUUCUCGACACGUAGCCACAGAUGCAAGCAUGAUUUAUUUUAAAAGUCGGUUCUCCCGUUUUGUGUGGGAACGCCCUUACCCUGUGAAUUGCUGUUUUCGCUAACUAGCUGUAAGCUAGGUGGGAGCUAAAUGUCAGUGUGCUGCUGGCGUGACAUCAUGGCUUGUUUUCAUUCAUACAUGAAGAGUCGCUGUGCGUAUUUAGCUGUCAGUCGCUGAAAUAUGGCCCGUCGUUCCCUUUUUCGGUACUUGUCUGCACUGCCUGUACCUGAAGUGUACUUCCUCAUUGUCGGUAGAAUGACAUUUCAGGUAUUCACUAGCAACGAGACAAUACUGUUACUCCCUCAGUGACACCCUCUGUAUACAUACUUAGUCAUUCAAGGAAAUGCUAUUUUACAAGCUUAUGCAAAUUUCUAAUGGAGCCUUUCGCCGUUGUAUGAGUAAUGGAACAUUUUCAAACAAGAAAUCAUCUAAUUGUCUUCUGCUUUCCUGAAUUUUCUCAUUGAUGUCGAAGUUGGCCUUUGAUCUUGGUGCAGGGUAAAGGGCUAGUUCACCGCGUUUUUGACAUCUGGCAUUAUUAAAAGAAUAUUAAGCUAGACGUUUUAGCAAAAUGUGUGUUAUAAGACCUGUUUGUCAAACCCACAACUUUAAAGUGUUGAAAUCAUGCGUGUUAAAAAUGAGAACUGCUACAGCAGCUUUAAAAGCUGAAAUUCUGUGCUCCUCAGUUUAUACUGAAAUUUGCUGAAGGUUGUGACCAAAAGUAAACAGCAAUGUUUAUUAAAAAAAAUAAAUAAAAGAUUGCUAUACAAUGUUUAAGGAGUUAAACACAUGUCAAAAUUACAGGCAAAAUAAAACGCAUUCAGAUUUGCUGUAAUAAAAACACUUGUGGUUAUUUACGAUAUUUGAUCAACUUUCAGCCUUUUUAAUGGUCACAAUAAAUAUUAGUUAAUUGGCUUGUAAAUAGUCCUUUAUUAUUCAGCCUAUAGGUGACAUCUGUUGGUAGCAAAUUAUAUUUACACAAUUUUAAAAUGGUGUAAAAACAGCAAAAAAAAACAACAAAAUCCUGCUUUAUGAAAAAGAUGCAUUCUUGUUCAAAUGAAACACUGUUGCAUCCUAAAAUAGAGUAUUUCUAAUUUUUGUUGGAAUCUCUGGACCUCGCACAAGCUGAUUUAUUUGUGCUGAUGUAUCAAAUCAGUUUAUUUUUUGUUAGUUUCGGGAAACGAGGAAAGUGUUAACAGACUAUUUGGCUGAUUUGUAAAUUCUACUUGUGUUGUGCUUAAUUAUCAUAAGACUAAAUCUUUGAAUAUAAGCUCGAUAUCAUGCCAUAUACAGCAAUCAUUUAUAUCCAACAAGUAAUAAUUGCUAUUUUGUGUAUAUUGCACACAUUUACCUUUUGUUAAUUUUCAAAACAACAAUCUACAAUAGCAAAUAAAAUGUCCUUUUUAUGGGACAGUGCAGCCAUGACUAGCAUAUUCAAAAGUUAAUCCACUGGAGCAUGAACAGCAGCUGCAGACUUUAUUUUAAAUAAAUAACACUUAAUGCUUCUUAAAUGUACAAAAAGGAGUAGUCCACAUUCCUUUAAAAAAAAGUAUGUUGCUAAUCUUGGGUCAGUCCUUGGUAUGAAAAAAAAAAUACUUGAAAACGGACACUUUUCUAAAUUUAAACAAACCAAAGUUUUAUUGACCGUAAUCAUCGAUCAAGGUAAUCCUGCACAGAUUUGACAGAGUUGAAGUUUGCAGAUUUUGAGGUAGAAUCUAUCGAGGGCAAUAAAGAUCCAAAAAAACAGUAAAAUAGUGAAUGACAGAAAUCCAGUGUGCAACCUUUGAGUCCCAGAUCCAUAGAGCUUAUUUCUAACGUACUGCUUAUUGCUGUCGACAUGCAUAGAAGGGAUGUUUAUAUAUGUAUCAAUCAAUCUUUUCUAGGCCAAAGCUGAUUGUCAGUUGUGUUUAAUUUCUGACCUGCCAAUCAGGUUAUUUUCUCCCAAUUACAUUUUAAAAGUAAAAAAAAAAAAAAAAAGUGCUAAAGGUUUCAGUUU